rnacentral:rRNA from 1 species
GGGCCCGCACAAGCGGUGGAGUAUGUGGUUUAAUUCGAUGCAACGCGAAGAACCUUACCAGGGUUUGACAUCCUGCGAAUCUCUUGGAAACAGGAGAGUGCCUUCGGGAACGCAGUGACAGGUGGUGCAUGGCUGUCGUCAGCUCGUGUCGUGAGAUGUUGGGUUAAGUCCCGCAACGAGCGCAACCCUUAUUGCUAGUUGCCAUCAUUUAGUUGGGGACUCUAGCGAGACUGCCAGUGAUAAACUGGAGGAAGGUGGGGAUGACGUCAAAUCAUCAUGCCCCUUAUGACCUGGGCUACACACGUACUACAAUGCUACGGACAAAGGGCAGCAAGUUCGCGAGGACAAGCAAAUCCCAUAAACCGUGGCUCAGUUCAGAUCGUAGGCUGCAACUCGCCUACGUGAAGGCGGAAUCGCUAGUAAUCGC